AACGACUCUCGGCAACGGAUAUCUCGGCUCUCGCAUCGAUGAAGAACGCAGCGAAAUGCGAUACUUGGUGUGAAUUGCAGGAUCCCGCGAACCAUCGAGUCUUUGAACGCAAGUUGCGCCCRAAGCCUUUUGGCCGAGGGCACGUCUGCCUGGGUG
rnacentral:rRNA from 1 species